rnacentral:rRNA from 1 species
AGAGUUUGAUCCUGGCUCAGAAUGAACGCUGGCGGCGUGCUUAACACAUGCAAGUCGAGCGAGAAAGCUCCUUCGGGAGUGAGUAAAGCGGCGGACGGGUGAGUAACGCGUGAGAAACUACCUUCUAGUGAAGAAUACCUCCGGGAAACUGGGGUUAAUGCUGCAUACGUCCCUUCGGGGAGAAAGAUGGCCUCUUUGCUGUCGCUAGAAGAUGUGCUCGCGUACUAUUAGCUUGUUGGUGGGGUAAAAGCCUACCAAGGCGAUGAUGGUUAACCGGCCUGAGAGGGCGAUCGGUCACAUUGGAACUUAGACACGGUCCAGACUCCUACGGGAGGCAGCAGUGAGGAAUAUUGCGCAAUGGGCGAAAGCCUGACGCAGCAACGCCGCGUGGAGGAUGAAGGUUUUCGGAUCGUAAACUCCUGUUGAGUGGGAAUAAAGUCUUUUAUUUAAUAGAUAAAAGAGAUGAAGGUACCACUAAAGAAAGCACCGGCUAACUUCGUGCCAGCAGCCGCGGUAAUACGAGGGGUGCUAGCGUUAUUCGGAAUUACUGGGCGUAAAGGGUACGUAGGCGGCGUGCUUAGUCAGUUGUUAAAUCUCCCGGCCUAACCGGGAAAAUGCGAUUGAUACUGGCAUGCUAGAGGAUGGAAGAGAGAAGUGGAAUUCUCGGAGUAGCGGUAAAAUGCUUAGAUAUCGAGAGGAACACCGAUGGCGAAGGCAGCUUCUUGGUCCAUAUCUGACGCUGAGGUACGAAAGCGUGGGGAGCAAACAGGAUUAGAUACCCUGGUAGUCCACGCUGUAAACGAUGAUCACUAGACGUUGGUUUCGCAAGAAAUCAGUGUCGUAGCUAACGCGUUAAGUGAUCCGCCUGGGGACUACGGUCGCAAGACUAAAACUUAAAGGAAUUGACGGGGGACCGCACAAGCGGUGGAACAUGUGGUUUAAUUCGACACUACGCGAGGAACCUUACCUGGGUUUGACAUGCAUUUGACAGCUGUAGAAAUACAGUUUUCUGGAUUUUUGUUCAGACAGGUGCACAGGUGCUGCAUGGCUGUCGUCAGCUCGUGUCGUGAGAUGUUUGGUUAAGUCCUCUAACGAGCGCAACUCCUACUAUCAGUUGCUAUCCUUCGGGAGCACUCUGAUGGGACUGCCUGGGAAACCAGGAGGAAGGUGGGAACGACGUCAAGUCAUCAUGGCCCUUAUGUCCAGGGCUACACACGUGUUACAAUGGCCAGUACAGUGGGCUGCAACUCCGCAAGGAGAAGCGAAUCUCAAAAAACUGGUCCAAGUUCGGAUUGAGGUCUGCAACUCGACCUCAUGAAGUUGAAAUCGCUAGUAAUCGCGCAUCAGCAACGGCGCGGUGAAUACGUUCUCGGUCCUUGUACACACCGCCCGUCACACCACGAAAGUUGUUUGUACCCGAAAUCGCUUUAGCUAACCCGUAAGGGAGGCGAGCGCUUACGGUGUGGGCAAUGAUUGGGGUGAAGUCGUAACAAGGUAACC